UACGUAGGGUGCGAGCGUUGUCCGGAAUUAUUGGGCGUAAAGAGCUCGUAGGCGGUGUGUCACGUCGGCCGUGAAAACCUGCAGCUUAACUGUGGGCGUGCGGUCGAUACGGGCAGACUAGAGUACUGCAGGGGAGACUGGAAUUCCUGGUGUAGCGGUGGAAUGCGCAGAUAUCAGGAGGAACACCGGUGGCGAAGGCGGCCCACUGGUCCGGUACUGACGCUGAGGUGCGAAAGCGUGGGGAGCAAACAGG
rnacentral:rRNA from 1 species